rnacentral:rRNA from 1 species
GGGGAAUAUUGCACAAUGGGCGAAAGCCUGAUGCAGCAACGCCGCGUGUGCGAUGAAGGCCUUCGGGUCGUAAAGCACUUUUCUGGGAGAUGAGAAAGGACAGUAUCUCAGGAAUAAGUCUCGGCUAACUACGUGCCAGCAGCCGCGGUAAAACGUAGGAGGCAAGCGUUAUCCGGAUUCACUGGGUGUAAAGCGCGUGCAGGCGGUUCGGUAAGUUGGGCGUGAAAUCUCCUGGCUCAACUAGGAGAGGUCGUUCAAUACUACCGGACUUGAGAGUGGUAGAGGAAGAUGGAAUUCCCGGUGUAGUGGUGAAAUGCGUAGAUAUCGGGAGGAACACCAGUGGCGAAGGCGAUCUUCUGGACCAUUUCUGACGCUCAGACGCGACAGCUAGGGUAGCAAACG